rnacentral:rRNA from 1 species
GACGAACGCUGGCGGCGUGCCUAAUACAUGCAAGUCGAACGAACCGCGACUAGGUGCUUGCACUUGGUCAAGGUGAGUGGCGAACGGGUGAGUAACACGUGGGUAACCUACCUCAUAGUGGGGGAUAACAGUCGGAAACGACUGCUAAUACCGCAUAGGACAUAGGAUCACAUGAUCCAGUGAGGAAAGGUGGCGCAAGCUAUCGCUAAGAGAUGGACCCGCGGUGCAUUAGCUAGUUGGUAGGGUAAAGGCCUACCAAGGCGAUGAUGCAUAGCCGACGUGAGAGGGUGAUCGGCCACAUUGGGACUGAGACACGGCCCAAACUCCUACGGGAGGCAGCAGUAGGGAAUCUUCCGCAAUGGACGCAAGUCUGACGGAGCAACGCCGCGUGAGUGAAGAAGGUCUUCGGAUCGUAAAGCUCUGUUGUUAGAGAAGAACAGCGCAUAGAGUAACUGUUAUGCGUGUGACGGUAUCUAACCAGAAAGCCACGGCUAACUACGUG